UUUGUUCCCUGCCUCAGAUUGAACGUUGGCGGGCAGGCCUAACACAUGCAAGUCGAACGGUAGCACAGAGAGCUUGCUCUCGGGUGACGAGUGGCGGACGGGUGAGUAAUGUCUGGGAAACUGCCCGAUGGAGGGGGGAUAACUACUGGAAACGGUAGCUAAUACCGCAUAAUGUCGCAAGACCAAAGAGGGGGACCUUCGGGCCUCUUGCCAUCGGAUGUGCCCAGAUGGGAUUAGCUAGUAGGUGGGGUAACGGCUCACCUAGGCGACGAUCCCUAGCUGGUCUGAGAGGAUGACCAGCCACACUGGAACUGAGACACGGUCCAGACUCCUACGGGAGGCAGCAGUGGGGAAUAUUGCACAAUGGGCGCAAGCCUGAUGCAGCCAUGCCGCGUGUAUGAAGAAGGCCUUCGGGUUGUAAAGUACUUUCAGCGAGGAGGAAGGCGUUGUGGUUAAUAACCACAGCGAUUGACGUUACUCGCAGAAGAAGCACCGGCUAACUCCGUGCCAGCAGCCGCGGUAAUACGGAGGGUGCAAGCGUUAAUCGGAAUUACUGGGCGUAAAGCGCACGCAGGCGGUCUGUCAAGUCGGAUGUGAAAUCCCCGGGCUCAACCUGGGAACUGCAUCCGAAACUGGCAGGCUAGAGUCUUGUAGAGGGGGGUAGAAUUCCAGGUGUAGCGGUGAAAUGCGUAGAGAUCUGGAGGAAUACCGGUGGCGAAGGCGGCCCCCUGGACAAAGACUGACGCUCAGGUGCGAAAGCGUGGGGAG
rnacentral:rRNA from 1 species